CAGCAGUAGCCGCGGGAAUACGUAGGGUGCAAGCGUUAAUCGGAAUUACUGGGCGUAAAGCGUGCGCAGGCGGUUAUAUAAGACAGAUGUGAAAUCCCCGGGCUCAACCUGGGAACUGCAUUUGUGACUGUAUAGCUAGAGUACGGCAGAGGGGGAUGGAAUUCCGCGUGUAGCAGUGAAAUGCGUAGAUAUGCGGAGGAACACCGAUGGCGAAGGCAAUCCCCUGGGCCUGUACUGACGCUCAUGCACGAAAGCGUGGGGAGCAAACAGGAUUAGAUACCCCAGUAGUCCCUGUCUCUUAUAC
rnacentral:rRNA from 1 species